UUUACCAUUUUUGUGUUUAUAUCAGUUUAGAUACAGUUUCUAAUGGCCUUGGACUACGGUCAAAUGAGCAGUCGACUGGGACCCAGCAGUGGACAGAUGGUUUGUUUUGGGCAAUAUGCGCGUAUAUUAUAGGAUUUACGGUAAUGAAUGGGACAUAGUGUCACCGUUAAAUGUUCUCACCGUUAGAUGUCGCCAAAGAACGCCGUAUUAUUCCAACGCACAUAAACUUGAAAUUUUUUUGAAAAUUACCAACACAAACACAAAAUCACAAUGUCAUUAACCGAAUCCUGAGGGGAAAAAAUGUUAUCUUAAAUCUAACCUCAAACUGCCUCUGAUACACUAAGCACACACUGCACACUGGUAUAAGAUUAAUUUUAAAUAUUAUAAUCAUAACCACUUACUGAUAUGAAUCGGGUUUUUCAGAGAAACCUCUUUGCAACUUAAUGAUGCAUAUUAUGCACACAUUACAAUGUAGUGACGUAACCUACUUUUGCACAAUGCCUUUUUGGAAACUUUAGCUAUAAGGAAAACUUUUUUGCUUAGCAUUUGAAAUGUCAUGAAUGUUUCAUUCUUCAAUGUAAUAAAGGAUAUGGGAAAAGCUUGGGAUAAGCCCAGAUUGCUGGUUUAACUUAGAAGAACUCUGUGACGACCCCUUGAGUUUCUGUAACAGUUAAAAUCGUCCAUUUACCGGUUUUAUUUUGUAUUAUUUGUGUAACGGGGUUGAGGGGUUACUGAGGUACGGAACUAAAUGAUGUGAUUUUAAUGAAUAAUCAUGAAUUUACUCAGAAAAAAACAUUACCAGCAAAAAAGUACAGAUGGAUAUUUAUGGGAAUGGCAAAAUGAAUGGACUUUUUUCUCAUUUUAUUACUCAUAUCCCAAGUAGACGUUCAUAGAAGGCAUUGAGGGACAUGACAAAAUAGGUGGUGUUAACUGAAAAAAACAUGUAUGUCAUGUUUUUAAACAUUAUUAAAGGAGACAUUUCAAUUAAUACAAAAAGCUUUUAAAAAUAUAUUUUGGUGACCCAAUAGAUAAAAUACACUGAAAAAGGUUAGAGGGACUCAAAUCGAACCGGUUUUGUGGAAAAGCUUGGGAUAAGCCCAGAUUGCUGGUUUAACUUAGAAGAACUCUGUGACGACCCCUUGAGUUUCUGUAACAGUUAAAAUCGUCCAUUUACCGGUAGGAUUUUGGAAAUCGGUGCUAUUUCGUCACGGGUAUUUCCUCGUAUGAUUUCGUUUACGUGCCUGCGGGGGUUUUUUGUCUGCAGCUAUUCUUACAUUUCUUCUCAGUGGGCGGGACUUUCAUGCCUUCCGGCAACCCUCGAGUGCACCUGACUCACCUGUGUACAGGUAAGGGGGUGGGGGAUAAGGGUGACAGCACCUAUAACUCUUCAAAAAGUCAUUUGUUACUUCCAGUCCACAAGGUUUCUGUUCGUCACUAACGUUUUGUAAAGCAUUAGCACCUUAAUUUUAAUAUGUAUUUGAGCAUCAAAUAACGCCUUAAAACGUGCAGGUGGACAGUGAAGGGUUUUCUUUCAAACACUUGAAUUGUUUUAUGAGAAGUUUGCAGUUGGCGGGAAAGUAACUUCUGUGAUUAUGGCAAACGCAAAUCGCCAUAGACGAGUGAGAUCUCAGCUGCCAUCAUGUUAUCACGAAGGCUUUCUGGAAAAGAAAUCCAUCAGAGACAAGAUGGGUCGUAAACUCUGGACCAGUUUAUGUGGAAAUUCACUCUUUUUCUUCAAUAACACUAAAGACAGUGUUUAUGUAGAGAAGCUGGAGCUCACUGAUCUUAUCACAGUGUCCGAUGACUGCUGUCGUGACCGAAACCUGAAUGCUGGUGGAUUUACUCUACACAUGAAAAAUGAAGACAUCAAGAUGAUUGCACCCAGCCUUGAGGCCAGAGAACUGUGGAAAGGCUUCUUGCUCUCAAUUUCCAAGCUAUCUGUGCCAACUUUUCUGAACCUGCUGCCUGGCCAGAUUCACAUGAUGAAGGAAAUAAUUGAGAAAGAGAAAAAGAGGCAGCGGCUUCUUUCAGUUCCACCACCAUCUCAGGGUUCUGACAAUUAUGUUAUUGUUGUGCCAGAAAUGCCUAUGUGUUAUUAUCCUGUCAAUCGCAUCGAAGCGGAAAUCUUACUGGAAAGGAACGCUGAUCAGGGAAACCUACUGCUGCGGCGGCGUCAAGAUGGGUCUUUUGCUCUCACCACUCACCAAGAUAUUAACGGACCAGUAUUCAAACAUUACUGUGUGUCUCGGAGGCCCGAAGGAGGAUUCGUUAUUGCCCUUGAGACUCCUAUCACCUGUGACACCCUGCAUGAUGUCGUUAACUACGUGGUGGAGAAGAGCAGUGGGGUUUUGGUGCCUCUUCUGAUGGAGCAACACUAUGAGAAAAAUAUCACAAUUAUUAAGCCAAAUGAAGAAAAUGGUGAGAUAAGUGAACAUUGUCUCAGAAAUGUCCCUUCACCUACUCCUCCGAUGCCACCCCCCAAACCAGUCACAAGGAAUGUCAGGUCCAGUCCAGAACCAAACGUACCUGAAAAUGAAUACCUCAGUGUCUCAGAUACUGGAGAGUAUGAGGUGGAUCAGGCCACAUGUAACAAACCUCCUGUCCUACCACGUCUUUCAGCCUUGGUGAGCAUAAGAGAGAGACUUCCAGAUAUCAUUCUGAUGAUGGUCUUUCGUUUUAGCAGGACGGUAUUUGCCGCAUCAGAUUUCAAUGCCUGGAGAUCUAAACACCAGUUCAGAUGGUGUAAGAAAACCUUUGGUACCUCCUGGCUACAGUAAAACACCUUCCCGAAGCAACAGUAUGUCUGGCUUGCAUGAGAAUUUUUCUACUCGUGAGCAGCGUGUUGACAUAAAUGAGCUCCAGAAUGCUAUUAGGAGACGAGCUAUCCCAGAAUGAUUGUAAUCUCAGUAAGAUGAUGGUAAUAAUAAUGGUUUCAUUGUUGAACGAGGAAUAAUUCCUUAGUAUUAAGCCAGCAGAUGCAUGAAUAUACAGCUUUACUCACCUGAACGCUGUAUCUGUGAGAUUUGUCCACUGCUGUCCAGUUGGCUGGAUCAACAAAUAGGCCCUUGAAUCAAGUUUUCUUUAUUGAUCCUUUCAGCAUUAUGAUAUAUUAGUUAUUUACAAUCAUUUAUUACACCAUCAUAUCGUUCAUUAUGUGCCUCAUUGUGACCUUUGUAGCUGCUGACUGUAAAUCACUACUGCUGUGUAGUCAAACUCAAAUUGCAAGUUUAUUUCACUGAUGUACUGUUGAUUUAUCACAAUUUCAGAGAUUAUUCCUGUGAAAAGUCAUACAAAUGUUUUGUCUUGAAUUCCUAUGUAUUGGAUAGCUGGUCUAUGUCUCUUUUCUCUGCCUCUGAUAUUAAAAAAAUAUCAGGCUUGCUACAAAGAAAAGGUUUGUUGUUGAUAUGAUGAUUUAUACUGACUUUACUAUGUGGGGAAGUUGCAGGUCUUCUUUCUCCAGAUAGAGAAACAGAUCAAACGAAUGUUGUUUUUCUGUUCCUGUUAAAACAUGACAUGUUUUAUUCUAUGUAUUUUAAGAACAAUACAAUGAUCACGGAAAAAAUGUA